rnacentral:rRNA from 1 species
AUGGAGACCACGGUCCCCGCGGCGACAGCCACCACCAGCUCGAGCGUCGGCCACGGAGCCGGCGGCGGUGCUGCGAGAGUCCUGCUCCUCCCGUACCCGGGGGCGCAGGGCCACACCAACCCGAUGCUCCAGCUCGGCCGCCGCCUGGCGUACCACGGCCUCCGCCCCACACUCGUCGCCACCCGCUACGUGCUCUCCACCACCCCGCCCCCCGGCGCGCCCUUCGACGUGGCCGCCAUCUCCGACGGCUGCGACGCCGGCGGCAUGGCCUCGUGCCCGGACAUGGCGGAGUACGUCUCGCGGCUGGCGGCCGUGGGCUCCGAGACGCUGCGGGAGCUCCUCCUGUCGGAGGCGCGCGCGGGGCGGCCCGUGCGCGUGCUGGUGUACGACGCUCACCUGGCGUGGGCGCGGCGGGUGGCGCAGGCGUCCGGCGUCGCGGCCGCGGCCUUCUUCUCCCAGCCGUGCGCGGUGGACGUCGUCUACGGGGAGCUGUGGGCGGGGCGGCUGGCGCUGCCGGCGACGGACGGGCGCGCGCUGCUCGCGAGAGGAGCGCUCGGCGUGGAGCUGGGGCCGGAGGACAUGCCGCCGUUCGCGGCGGUGCCGGAGUCGCAGCCUUUGUUCCUCAAGGUGUCAGUUGGGCAGUUCGAGGGGCUGGAGGACGCCGACGACGUGCUCGUCAACUCAUUCCGCGACCUCGAGCCAAAGGAGGCAGAGUACAUGGAAUUAACAUGGAGAGCGAAGAUGGUUGGCCCAACCAUGCCAUCAUUCUACCUCGACGAUGAUCGCCUACCAUCGAAUAAAUCAUAUGGUUUUAACUUUUUCAACGGUGAUGCACUGUGCAUGGAUUGGCUAGAGAAGCAAAGCAAUUCAUCCGUUGUGCUGGUGUCCUAUGGGACCGUCUCUAAUUAUGAUGCAACCCAGCUAGAGGAGCUUGGCAAUGGACUGUGCAAUUCUGACAAACCUUUUCUUUGGGUUGUAAGGUCCAACGAGGAACACAAGUUAUCCAAAGAACUCAGGGAAAAAUGUGAGAAGAUUGGAUUAAUUGUCUCAUGGUGUCCCCAACUUGAGGUUCUUGCACAUAGGGCUAUUGGUUGCUUUGUUACCCAUUGUGGAUGGAACUCGACACUAGAGGCACUUGCUAAUGGUGUACCUCUUGUGGGUAUUCCGCAUUGGGCAGACCAACCCACCAUUGCAAAGUAUAUGGAGAGUGCAUGGAGCAUGGGUGUGCGUGUACGGAAGGACAAUAAUGGAUAUCUAAAGAUGGAGGAGGUUGAGAGGUGCAUUAGAGAGAUGAUGGAUGUGGAGAGAAAUGAUAAGUACAAAAGAAAUGCUGUGAAGUGGAUGCAAAAGGCCAAGGAGGCAAUGCGGGAAGGAGGAAGUUCCGACAAGAAUAUCGCUGAAUUCGCUACCAAAUAUUCAUCAAUAUAA